GCUAAUACCGCAUAACGUCGCAAGACCAAAGUGGGGGACCUUCGGGCCUCAUGCCAUCAGAUGUGCCCAGAUGGGAUUAGCUAGUAGGUGGGGUAACGGCUCACCUAGGCGACGAUCCCUAGCUGGUCUGAGAGGAUGACCAGCCACACUGGAACUGAGACACGGUCCAGACUCCUACGGGAGGCAGCAGUGGGGAAUAUUGCACAAUGGGCGCAAGCCUGAUGCAGCCAUGCCGCGUGUGUGAAGAAGGCCUUCGGGUUGUAAAGCACUUUCAGCGG
rnacentral:rRNA from 1 species